AACAUAAAAGUGGAGGCUAUUGUAACUGAAGAGAACUGGAAAGUUCCACCGUAGAAGGUAAUAGUCCUGUAAGUGAAACGAGAAGACCACGAGUUAUGAUCCAGAGUACCACGAGACACGUGAAACCUUGUGGGAAGCAGGGAGGACCACCUCCCAAGGCUAAAUACUACCUGAUGACCGAUAGUGAAGCAGUACCGUGAGGGAAAGGUGAAAAGAACCCCGGGAGGGGAGUGAAAUAGAACCUGAAACCGUGUGCCUACAACCGCUCAGAGCCCCUUAUGAGGGUGAUGAGGUGCUUUUUGUAGAACGAGCCAACGAGUUACGGUAUGUAGCAAGGUUAAGUACUUAAGGUACGGAGCCGAAGGGAAACCGAGUCUGAAUAGGGCGACUAGUUGCAUGCCGUAGACCCGAAACCGGGUGACCUAUCCAUGGCCAGGUUGAAGCGAGGGUAAAACCUCGUGGAGGACCGAACCACGUUGCUGUUGAAAAAGCAUGGGAUGAGCUGUGGAUAGCGGAGAAAUUCCAAUCGAACCCGGAGAUAGCUGGUUCUCUCCGAAAUAGCUUUAGGGCUAGCGUCGAGUAUGAGUAGUGGAGGUAGAGCACUGAAUGGGCUAGGGGGCAUAGCGCUUACCGAACCUUAUCAAACUCCGAAUGCCACAUACUUUGAGCUCGGCAGUCAGACUACGAAUGAUAAGAUCCGUGGUCAAAAGGGAAACAGCCCAGAUCGUCAGCUAAGGUCCCAAAGUGUAAGUUAAGUGGGAAAGGAUGUGAGAUUUCUAAGACAACUAGGAUGUUGGCUUAGAAGCAGCCAUUCAUUAAAAGAGUGCGUAAUAGCUCACUAGUCGAGAGAUCUUGCGCCGAAAAUGUAACGGGGCUAAACUUACCACCGAAGCUACGGGCUUGAACUUAGUUCAAGCGGUAGGAGAGCGUCGUAACCGGGCUGAAGUCGUACCGUAAGGAGCGGUGGACUGGUUACGAGUGAGAAUGUUGGCAUCAGUAGCGAGAUGUGGGUGAGAAUCCCACAGGCCGAAAACCUAAGGUUUCCUCAGGAAGGUUCGUCCGCUGAGGGUUAGUCGGGACCUAAGCCGAGGCCGAAAGGCGUAGGUGAUGGACAACUGGUUGAUAUUCCAGUACCACUACCAUCGUUAUUAUCGAUGGCGUGACGCAGGAGGAUAGUGUGUGCUAGCUAUUGGAUGCUAGUCUAAGCGUUUAGGCAGUGAGAGUAGGCAAAUCCGCUCUCAUAAUGCUGAGGCGUGAUGGGGAAGGUUCUACGGAACCGAAGUACAUGAUUCCACGCUGCCAAGAAAAGCGUCUAGAGAGAGAAGUAGUGCCCGUACCGCAAACCGACACAGGUAGGUGAGGAGAGAAUCCUAAGGCCGGCGGAAGAAUUACAGUUAAGGAACUCGGCAAAUUGACCCCGUAAGUUCGCGAGAAGGGGUGCCUACGAGAGUAGGCCGCAGAGAAUAGGCCCAAGCAACUGUUUAGCAAAAACACAGGUCUCUGCUAAAGCGUAAGCUGAUGUAUAGGGGCUGACGCCUGCCCGGUGCUGGAAGGUUAAGGGGAACACUUAGCGCAAGCGAAGGUGUGAACUUAAGCCCCAGUAAACGGCGGCCGUAACUAUAACGGUCCUAAGGUAGCGAAAUUCCUUGUCAGGUAAGUUCUGACCCGCACGAAUGGCGUAAUGACUUGGGCACUGUCUCAACUGUAAAUCCGGCGAAGUUGUAGUGCGAGUGAAGAUGCUCGCUACCCGCGAUUGGACGGAAAGACCCCGUAGAGCUUUACUGUAGCUUAGCAUUGAGUUUUGGUAUUGUCUGUACAGGAUAGGUGGGAGACUAGGAAACCAGGGCGUCAGCCUUGGUGGAGUCAACCUUGGGAUACCACCCUGACAGUACUGAAAUUCUAACUGGCGGCCAUGAAUCUGGUCACAGGACAUUGUUAGGUGGGCAGUUUGACUGGGGCGGUCGCCUCCUAAAAAGUAACGGAGGCGCCCAAAGGUUCCCUCAGAACGGUCGGAAAUCGUUCGAAGAGUGCAAAGGCAGAAGGGAGCCUGACUGCGACACCCACAAGUGGAGCAGGGACGAAAGUCGGGCUUAGUGAUCCGGUGGUACCUCGUGGGAGGGCCAUCGCUCAACGGAUAAAAGCUACCUCGGGGAUAACAGGCUGAUCUCCCCCAAGAGUCCACAUCGACGGGGAGGUUUGGCACCUCGAUGUCGGCUCGUCGCAUCCUGGGGCUGAAGUAGGUCCCAAGGGUUGGGCUGUUCGCCCAUUAAAGCGGCACGCGAGCUGGGUUCAGAACGUCGUGAGACAGUUCGGUCCCUAUCCGUCGCGGGCGUAGGAAAUUUGAGAGGAGCUGUCCUUAGUACGAGAGGACCGGGAUGGACUGACCUCUGGUGUACCAGUUGUUCCGCCAGGAGCACAGCUGGGUAGCUAAGUCGGGAAUGGAUAAACGCUGAAAGCAUCUAAGCGUGAAGCCAACCUCAAGAUGAGAUUUCCCAUAGCGUAAGCUAGUAAGAUCCCUUGAAGAACACAAGGUUGAUAGGUCGGGGGUGUAAGCAUGGUAACAUGUUCAGCUGACCGAUACUAAUAGAUCGAGGGCUUGACCAAAU
rnacentral:rRNA from 1 species